UACGGAGGGUGCGAGCGUUGUUCGGAAUCACUGGGCGUAAAGGGCGUGUAGGCGGUCCGCUAAGUCUGAUGUGAAAGCCCGGGGCUCACCCCCGGAAGUGCAUUGGAAACUGGCGGACUCGAGUCCCGGAGAGGAGACUGGAAUUCAUGGUGUAGCAGUGAAAUGCGUAGAGAUCAUGAGGAAGACCAGUGGCGAAGGCGGGUCUCUGGACAGUUCCUGACACUGAGGCACGAAGGCCAGGGGAGCAAACGGG
rnacentral:rRNA from 1 species